GGAAAUCCAAAUAAUGGUAAAAAUUGGGCCUUUUUAUUUAAUGCAACAACUAUAGAAAUGAUUUCGUAUACAAAGACAACUGUCAACUCCACAUUGACUGUUAAUUGUAAUGCAGACUUAGUCGUUGAGCGCAACGGUAAUAUUGAACGAACACAGCAGUUUUUAAUUAUAUGCACAAGAAACAACACAUGGGUCCCCUCGGGAAAGUGUGUAUGGAUAGGUAAGGUGUACUACUGACUGCGGAGAUCCAAAUAAAGGCACGUUUAUGACAAAAGGUCUUCUUGGAGCUUACAUACAAUCCAUAAACUUUACACGAACAACAGCCUAUUAUAAAGCCACAGUUCGUUGUCAGCCGGGAUAUAUGAUAAACUGUAGUUCGACCCAUCAAAUUAUGUGUACGCCUGGUGGUGUAUGGCGCCCAAACCUUAUCUGUGAUGAAAUAGGUUAAGUAUUAGACAUUGCUGAUUCAUGAUCAUCUUGUAGAAACUGUGCUAACAUAGUUUUGUCUUGUUCAAUGGUUCAAAUUACUUCGAAAACAAAUGAUAAAAUAGUUUUCAAUAUGAGAAAAAUACAUUUAUACAAACCUAUUUAAACUAUAUUUUGUAUUUAUUGUUGCGCAGAUAUUAACAUGUGGGUGUAUUAGACCAAUUUGGUUAAUAUUCUUUUGUCAGACUGAAGGAUUCAUCACUCUCAGUGAAAAGGGUAAACUGAUAAAAGUGUUUUUCGAACUGCACUUUAAUAGGAUUGUUAUAUAUAUUGUAAUGUUGUUUCAACUCAAUGGAAUACAAGAAUAUUGUUUGAGCAUAAGUGCAUACUGUUUAUGCCAUGAACAUAAUAAACUAUAGACAGCAAAUUAACAAUACUUCUUAAAUACAGCUAAUACAGAUAUGUGCUUUAUUAACUUUAGGAAACAACAACUUGAGAAUAUAUAUAAAUAUUGGUAAACAUUUUCGAAAAGUAAAAUAUGAUAAGAUUUAAACAGGUGGAUAUUUAUGAGCGUUUAAAUUAACACAACUGUGGAAUAUUGUUGUUCUAUUUGAAUUUAAGUCAUAUUAUCCGUAGCCAUCUUUUACUUAAACGGCGUUGUGUCAGUUAAAUGGAAUGGUCAUUUUAAAGGUUAAUGUUACCUUACAACUUGUAUAUGACAGUCUUUGUGUUUUAUAAUACUAAAUUGUGAGGUUUUAUGUUACAACAACUUGUAGGAAUCAUGUUGUCAAGCAAAUAAUCAAUAUGUAACGUGUUGUAUUAAAACGCUGUCGUUACAAUACGCCCCACUCCCAAGAGACUUCAGAAAAUGAUAGAUAUAACCUCAACAUUCCUCACUCAUGAUUUGUCGUUACUGGUCCAUGAGCGGUUUUCACUGCAUUAUCAUUUUGAGCCUAACCGUCCAAUAUAAUCAUGACGACAGUAUUUAUAUGGUAAUUCUUAUCAUUCUAAUUACAACUUCAGUUAUAAUGGAGCUAAUGUAUGCAAAGAAAACUUGUUUCACUGCGUUGUGCAAAAUAAUCGCUUUAAUAUUUUUAUUGUUUCUUGAAAUUCAGUAUGUUCUGAUUUGCCUAGGAAAUACAGGUUUGGUGCUUUUAUAAAUCUUCUCGUAUUUUAUGACAAUAUACUUACACUAUACGCCAUACUAUUCGAGCACUGAUAGAUCUAAGAUAAUAGUGUUAGAAAAACUUGGUUCGCUUGUAUUUAAACCGAAUAUUCCAAUCAUACUUUAAAUUACAUAUACAUAAACCGUUUGUUUUUUCUUUAACGUUUAACAUCUGCGUAAACUACUACAAUAAAACUUGAGUCAACAUCAGCGCCAACUACUAAAACAACACCUGAGCCAACAUUAGUGCCAACUUCUACAAUAACGCCUGUACAAUCAUUAUAUUCAACUACUAGAACCACACUUGAGCCAACAUCAGCGCAAACUACUACAACAAUACCUGAGCCAACAUCAGUGCCAACUACUACACUAACACCUGAACAAUCAUUGUAUACAACUACUACAACCACACUUGAGCCAACGUCAGUGCCAACUACUACACUAACACCUGAACAAGCAUUAUAUUCAACUACUACAACCACACGUGAGCCAACAUCAGCGCAAACUACUACAACAACACAUGAGCCCACAUCGGCGCCAACUACUGUAACAACACCUAAGCCAACAUCAGUGCCAACUACUACACUAACACCCGAACACGCAUUAUAUUCAGCUACUACUACCACACGUGAGCCAACAUCAGUGCAAACUACUACAACAACAAUCGAGCUAAUAUCGGCGUCAACUACUACAACAAAACUUGAGCCAACAUCGACGCCAACUACUAGAACAAGACCUGAGCCAACAUCGGAGCCAACUUCUACAACAACACAUGAGCCAACUUCGACGCCAACUACUACAACAACACCUGAGCCAACAUCGGAGCCAACUACUACUUCAACACCUGGGCCAAAAUCAACGCCAACUACUACAACAACAUCUGAGCCAACAUCAGCACCAACUUCCACAACAGCACCUGAGCCGACAUCGGGGCCAACUACUACAACAACACUUGCGCCAACAUCGGCACCAACCACUAAAACAACACCUGAACCAACAUCGGCGCCAACUACUACAACAUUACAUGAGCCAACCUCGGCGCAAACUACUAAAACACCUGUGCCAACAUCGGAUCCAACUACUCCUACAACAACCUGGCAAAAAUCAACGCCAACUACUACAACAACAAUUUAGCCAACAUCAGUGUCAACUUUCACAACAGCACCUGAACCAACUUAGGCGCCAACUACUACAACAACACAUGAGCCAACAUCGGCGCCAACUACAACAACACCUGAGCCAACAUCGGCGCCAACUACUACAACAACACUUGAGCCAACAUCGUCGCCAACAAGUACAACAACGUCUGAGCCAACAUCGGCGCCAACUAUUAAAACACGUGAACCAACAUCGGUACCAACAACACCAUCAACAACAACAAAGCAAAUCUCCGAUUGUAAAAAUACCCCAAGAAUACAAAAUGGAGCUUGUAUCGCCAAUACCACCACCUAUGGGUCCAUCGCUAAGUGUAUAUGUGAAUUGGGAUACACAUUGCAUGGGGACAAUUACACCGAGUGUCUUUUCAAUGGAUCAUGGAGUGAAGUCAAUAACACCUGUACACUCACAGAUUGCGGACCUCCUAAACUUGAUACUAAUGUCCAAUUCAAUACAACAAACGGUACAAUGUAUCUGUCGACCGCAUCUUUUUCCUGUAACGAUGGAUUCAACUUGACCGGUGACAUAUCAUCUACAUGUACUGAGUCAUCCGUU